UACGAAGGGGGCUAGCGUUGCUCGGAAUCACUGGGCGUAAAGCGCACGUAGGCGGAUUGCUAAGUCAGGGGUGAAAUCCUGGAGCUCAACUCCAGAACUGCCUUUGAUACUGAAGAUCUUGAGUUCGGGAGAGGUGAGUGGAACUGCGAGUGUAGAGGUGAAAUUCGUAGAUAUUCGCAAGAACACCAGUGGCGAAGGCGGCUCACUGGCCCGAUACCGACGCUGAGGCACGAAAGCGUGGGGAGCAAACAGG
rnacentral:rRNA from 1 species